CUUGGUCAGGAUGUGUUUUCUGGUUUCCAGCGGUGCUGCUGUGUCAGCAUAGCCUCACUCCUCACCAUGCUUUGUCCUGGAGUUCACCAUAAGGUCGCCUGACUCUCUAGCUCCAUCUAUCACAAAUGAUUCAGCCAACAGACUUCUUCCUGUUGGUGCAGCUGUUUUUGAUCUUCUCCAUCUGCUCCCGCUGGCUGUCACAGAUGAGGAAGAGCACCAAGCUAACGAUGAUGAGGGACUGGAUGAGUGAAGAGAAGAAGAAGAUGAUCCUCAUGUAAUAACCGCAGCUCUUCCCUUUGGGCUUGUGCAGCGGCUCCCUCGCCUCCAGGCCGAACUUGGCCCUGGAGUAGCUGGAGCUGUACAUGGCUGUUGGGGGUGAAAUGGUGCUGAAGCUUCGGGAUGUCAGUCAGGGAUGGAGGCAGAAAGCAGCAGAGAGAUGUUUAUUUCACACACUGACAGGCAGAAAUGGCAUGUAUAGAUGGAUAUAAACAAUGACCCCUAGGUGUGUGGAGGGGCCUUGUUUAUAAAUGCUGCUGGAGGCACACUUCCACUCCAUCCUGGCCCUGCCCUCAUCUCCCCCUCCUCCUUCUCUCCUCCCUGUUCGACCUCUGUCACAGUUUCAGCCUCCAGCUGCACUGACUCAUCAAGAACUUUCCUAAAGCCUGGAAAAGAUUAGGAAGAUGAAAUAAAGUUUAAGAUCACCUACAGGCAUGUUUUAUGACAGAAAAAACACUUUAAAUAAAACUUCAAUUUGAUAUGCUUUUCUCAUAAUAAAAGACAACCUAUUUCUUUAAGCUA